rnacentral:misc_RNA from 1 species
AGAAAAUCAUUCAAGCGAACUUGAAAUAACAUUCUUGCGAUAUAAGCGCAAUUUUGGAAACUGUUACUUUUCAAUAAAUUGCUAACAUUAUAGUUGAUAUUUGUAAUCAAUAUUGUAUGCCAUAAUACUAUGAGUGUUUUUGUUCUCUUUUUGUGUAAUUAUUGUUUUUAUUAGCUAAAAUGAAAAAUAUUGGGUUCUUUAUCUAUAACGCUUCUGACUAAGAUUUUUGAUAUUCAAUGAAUAGUUAUAAGUUAUUUGUACAUGUGAGUAUGUAGAUGAAAGGGAAAAAAUGGAAGUGCAUCAAUUAUGAAUAAUGUAUAAAAGAGUCAGUAUCAUACUUGGAUUACAGUAAAUGCUUUCUUUUCUAUAUUUCAAGGAAUAUAAAUCUUUGUACAUUAAGCAAAAUAUGCAAUAAACAAUUCCUUUUAACCGAUUCUUAUGAUAUAAAAAUGAAGAAGUG